rnacentral:pre_miRNA from 1 species
CUUAUACUCCCUCCGUUCGGAAUUACUCGUCCAAAAAAUAAAUGUAUCUAGAUGUAUUUUAGUUGUAGAUACAUCCAUUUUUGUAACAAGUAAUUCCGAACGGAGGGAGUACUAA